rnacentral:tRNA from 1 species
GGGUAUAUAGCUCAGUGAUAGAGCAUUCGGCUGCAGAUCAAAAGGUCUCCGGUUCAAACCCGGGGAUACCCU